CCGGCGACCGGCGCACGGGUGAGUAACACGUAUGCAACCUGCCCUCCGCAGGGGGAUAACCCGGAGAAAUCCGGACUAAUACCGCGUGGUACAUCUGUGGGGCAUCCCACGGGUGCUAAAAGGAAGCGAUUCCGGCGGAGGAUGGGCAUGCGGCGCAUUAGCUAGUUGGCGGGGUAACGGCCCACCAAGGCGACGAUGCGUAGGGGUUCUGAGAGGAAGGUCCCCCACACUGGUACUGAGACACGGACCAGACUCCUACGGGAGGCAGCAG
rnacentral:rRNA from 1 species